rnacentral:rRNA from 1 species
UACAGAGGUCCCGAGCGUUGUUCGGAUUCACUGGGCGUAAAGGGUGCGUAGGCGGCGCGGUAAGUCGGGUGUGAAAUCUUGGAGCUUAACUCCGAAACUGCAUUCGAUACUGCCGUGCUUGAGGACUGGAGAGGAGACUGGAAUUUACGGUGUAGCGGUGAAAUGCGUAGAUAUCGUAAGGAAGACCAGUGGCGAAGGCGGGGUCUCUGGACAGUUCCUGACGCUGAGGCACGAAGGUCAGGGGAGCAAACGGG